rnacentral:rRNA from 1 species
UACAGAGGUCUCAAGCGUUGUUCGGAAUUAUUGGGCGUAAAGAGCUCGUAGGCGGUCUGUCGCGUCGGCUGUGAAAUCCCGAGGCUCAACCUCGGGUCUGCAGUCGAUACGGGCAAACUAGAGUAUUGCAGGGGAGACUGGAAUUCCUGGUGUAGCGGUGAAAUGCGCAGAUAUCAGGAGGAACACCGGUGGCGAAGGCGGGUCUCUGGGCCGAUACUGACGCUGAGGAGCGAAAGCGUGGGGAGCGAACAGG